rnacentral:rRNA from 1 species
UACGUAGGGUGCAAGCGUUGUCCGGAAUUAUUGGGCGUAAAGAGCUUGUAGGCGGUUUGUCGCGUCUGCUGUGAAAUUUCGGGGCUCAACCCCGAACUUGCAGUGGGUACGGGCAGACUAGAGUGUGGUAGGGGAGACUGGAAUUCCUGGUGUAGCGGUGAAAUGCGCAGAUAUCAGGAGGAACACCGGUGGCGAAGGCGGAUCUCUGGGCCUUACCUGACGCUCAGGCGCGAAAGCUAGGGGAGCGAACAGG